CCUACGGGAGGCAGCAGUGAGGAAUAUUGGUCAAUGGACGAGAGUCUGAACCAGCCAAGUAGCGUGAAGGAUGACUGCCCUAUGGGUUGUAAACUUCUUUUAUAUGGGAAUAAAACGUUCCACGUGUGGGAUUUUGUAUGUACCAUAUGAAUAAGGAUCGGCUAACUCCGUGCCAGCAGCCGCGGUAAUACGGAGGAUCCGAGCGUUAUCCGGAUUUAUUGGGUGUAAAGGGAGCGUAGGUGGAUUGUUAAGUCAGUUGUGAAAGUUUGCGGCUCAACCGUAAAAUUGCAGUUGAAACUGGCAGUCUUGAGUACAGUAGAGGUGAGCGGAAUUCGUGGUGUAGCGGUGAAAUGCUUAGAUAUCACGAAGAACUCCGAUUGCGAAGGCAGUUCACUGGACUGCAACUGACACUGAGGCUCGAAAGUGUGGGUAUCAAACAGGAUUAGAUACCCCAGUAGUC
rnacentral:rRNA from 1 species